AGGAUCCGAGCGUUAUCCGGAAUUAUUGGGUUUAAAGGGUGCGUAGGCGGCCUGAUAAGUCAGGGGUGAAAGACGGUGGCUCAACCAUCGCAGUGCCUUUGAUACUGUCGGGCUUGAAUGUACUUGAGGUAGGCGGAAUGUGACAAGUAGCGGUGAAAUGCAUAGAUAUGUCACAGAACACCGAUUGCGAAGGCAGCUUACUAAAGUAUGAUUGACGCUGAGGCACGAAAGCGUGGGGAUCAA
rnacentral:rRNA from 1 species